AAAAAUUAUAACUUCAGCUUUGUGCAGUGGCGGUAUCAUAGCCAAUGAGGUAUAUCCGAGGCACGAUUAUUGCUAAUUGAAAACUUUUCCCGGUACCCGACAAUGACAACUUGAAAU